GCCUGGGUGGCUCAGUCGGUUAAGCGUCCGACUUCGGCUCAGGUCAUGAUCUCGCAGUUUGUGGGUUCGAGCCCCACGUCGGGCU
rnacentral:tRNA from 1 species